rnacentral:rRNA from 1 species
AGCGUUGUCCGGAAUUAUUGGGCGUAAAGAGCGCGUAGGCGGUCCGAUAAGUCGGCUGUGAAAGUCAGGGGCUCAACCCUUGAAAGCCGGCCGAUACUGUCGGACUAGAGUCCGGAAGAGGCGAGUGGAAUUCCCGGUGUAGCGGUGAAAUGCGCAGAUAUCGGGAGGAACACCAAUGGCGAAGGCAGCUCGCUGGGACGGUACUGACGCUGAGGCGCGAAAGCGUGGGGAGCAAACAGG